CCUACGGGUGGCAGCAGUGGGGGAUAUUGCACAAUGGGGGGAACCCUGAUGCAGCGACGCCGCGUGGGUGAAGGAGCGUUUCGGCGCGUAAAGCCCUAUCGGCAGGGAAGAAGAUGACGGUACCUGACCAAGAAGCCCCGGCUAACUACGUGCCAGCAGCCGCGGUAAGACGUCGGGGGCAAGCGUUAUCCGGAUUUACUGGGUGUAAAGGGGGCGCAGACGGCAAUGCAAGCCAGGAGUGAAAGCCCGGGGCCCAACCCCGGGAGAGCUCUUGGAACUGCAUGGCUGGAGUACAGGAGGGGCAGGCGGAAUGCCUAGUGUAGCGGUGAAAUGCGUAGAUAUUAGGAGGAACACCAGUGGCGAAGGCGGCCUGCUGGGCUUUUACUGACGCUGAGGCUCGAAAGCGUGGGUAGCAAACAGGAUUAGAUACCCGAGUAGUC
rnacentral:rRNA from 1 species